AGUGAACGCUGGCGGUAGGCCUAACACAUGCAAGUCGAACGGCAGCACAGUAAGAGCUUGCUCUUACGGGUGGCGAGUGGCGGACGGGUGAGGAAUACAUCGGAAUCUACUUUUUCGUGGGGGAUAACGUAGGGAAACUUACGCUAAUACCGCAUACGACCUACGGGUGAAAGCAGGGGAUCUUCGGACCUUGCGCGAUUGAAUGAGCCGAUGUCGGAUUAGCUAGUUGGCGGGGUAAAGGCCCACCAAGGCGACGAUCCGUAGCUGGUCUGAGAGGAUGAUGCGCCACACUGAAACUGAGACGCUGUACAGACUCCUAGGAGAGGCAGCAGUGGGAAAUAUUGGACAAGGGGCGCAAGCCUGCUACAGCCACCCCGCGGGUGAAGAAGGCCUUCGGGUUGUAAAGCCCUUUUGUUGGGAAAGAAAAGCAGCAGGUUAAUACCCCGCUGUUCUGACGGUACCCAAAGAAUAAGCACCGGCUAACUUCGUG
rnacentral:rRNA from 1 species